rnacentral:misc_RNA from 1 species
GUGCGUGCGCACAUGCAUACAAAAAGUCAGGUCUAAGUUACAUUUAUGCCUUGCCCUGCUCUGACCAUCUCUUGGAUAAUUUCUUGUUGUUGCUGGUAAGUUUAGCAUGACUUGCCAUCUCUAGUCUGAACUUAUAUGGUCUACUGAAAAUUUUAUGGUGGGUGAUUUAUGUUUUAAAAAAAGAUGUUUGUUAUGCUCUUGUAAUGAAUUGCAAGUUGCUAUAUCAUUAUCAAGGUGUUUUGCAUUGACAGAAUUGAUAGCACUCUUCAUAUAUCUUCUUUAAUGCUAUACAAUUGUUGACUAUUAAUAUGAUUGUGUUGAGUUAGUUUAUACUUUGCUAGUACGACACAUGCAGCCAUCAAUGCUGUGAUAAAUUUUUUUAACCAUGAUUUCUAAAUGUGAAUUGGCU